GCUUCGGUGGCCUAGUUGUUAGAGCGUCCGCCUCAGACACGGGAGUUCUUGGGUUCGAUCCCCGGUCGAGUUA